GACGUAGGAUGCGAGCGUUGUCCGGAAUUACUGGGCGUAAAGAGUGUGUAGGCGGUGCUCUAAGUUCGGUGUGAAAUCUCCUGGCUUAACUGGGAGGGUGCGCCGGAAACUGGGGUGCUCGAGCGUGGGAGAGGAAAGCGGAAUUCCUGGUGUAGCGGUGAAAUGCGUAGAUAUCAGGAGGAACACCUGUGGUGUAGACAGCUUUCUGGACCAUUGCUGACGCUGAGACACGAAAGCGUGGGUAGCAAACAGG
rnacentral:rRNA from 1 species